CCUGUCUCUCAGAUUAUAUCAUUCCUAAAACAUUCGACUUUGUUUCUUUAACAACUAACAUUUCUUAGAAAAUUUGUAUACCAUUUAGAGUAUGGUGUCAAAAAUUGUACUACUGGAAUUUUAUCAAUUGUUUCUUUAUACUUUUUGCCACAUGUCAAAUUGUAUCUUUUUUAAACAAUUUGAUUUGUUUUAUUUUUUCUUUAUAUAACAUUAUUAAAUCAAUUUUGUACUUGUGUACUUGCAUAUCACUCUUUUAACACAAACUGUAGCAAAAUUUCAACCAAACCCUAUCGUCGCAGUCGUACCGGCGGCAGUUUCUCUCGCCGUCAUCAUCUCCGCUCGUCGUCUCCGUUUCAUCUCUCCACCCACAACUAUUCUAAAUCAAAACACAAAGCUCCAUUCUCACUCACUCUCACCUCAUCACCAUUUCAAAAUUUCGCGCCUCAAUUUCAUAUCGAUUGCACUGCACUUCCAAAAGAAUUGGUUGUGCAGUCCCUGUUUUCAUCAGAAGCAAUCUUUAAAAUUAUCACGGUUUCGAAGUUCUGCUAUGGCUGCUGAUUCCUCUGUAAUGUAUAACGGAAAUGGAAAUGGAAAUGGUGGUAUCAACCCAAUGCCUAACCUACAGAGGACUUACCAAGUGGUAGUGGCUGCCACCAAAGAUAUGGGCAUUGGUAAGGAUGGAAAGUUGCCGUGGAGAUUAUCUACUGAUCUCAAGUUUUUCAAAGAGAUAACUACGACGACUAACGAAUCCGGGAAGAAGAAUGCCGUUGUUAUGGGAAGAAAAACAUGGGAGAGUAUCCCUCUUCAGUUCAGGCCUCUUCCCGGUCGUCUUAAUGUUGUUUUGACUCGCUCGGGUAGUUUUGAUGUUAAAGCAGCGGAUAAUGUUGUUAUUUGUGGAAGUAUGUCUUCUGCAUUGGAACUUUUAGCGGCUUCUCCUUAUUGUACAUCAAUUGAGAAAAUAUUUGUUAUUGGGGGUGGUGAGAUAUUUAGAGAUGCUCUCAAUGCACCUGAAUGUGAAGCUAUCCACAUCACAGAAAUUCACACAAGCAUUGAGUGUGACACUUUUAUGCCUCCAAUUGAUUUCACAAUAUUUCGGCCGUGGUACUCAUCCUUUCCUAAGGUGGAAAACAAUAUCCGAUAUUCUUUCACCACUUAUGUGCGUGUAAGAAGUUCUGUAGCAGAGUCCUUGAGUCGGAAUACUGAUUCACCUAUUGAUAAUAAACCAGCUUCUAAAAAAUUUGAGGUUCAGAACUUCUCUUUUCUUCCGAAAAUGGUUUUUGAGAGGCAUGAGGAGUACAUGUAUCUUAAUCUGGUUCAAGAAAUCAUAUCUCAAGGUACCUCCAAAGGUGAUAGGACAGGGACUGGAACCUUGUCAAAAUUUGGUUGCCAGGUGAGGUUCAAUCUGCGCAGAGGCUUUCCUCUUCUAACAACUAAGAGAGUAUUUUGGCGUGGAGUUGUUGAAGAGCUUCUUUGGUUUAUCAGUGGCUCAACAAAUGCCAAGGUGUUACAGGAAAAAGGCAUUCAUAUAUGGGAUGAUAAUGCAUCCAGGGAAUUCCUUGAUAGCAUUGGUUUGUCAGAGAGGGAGGAGGGUGACUUAGGACCUGUUUAUGGGUUUCAGUGGAGGCACUUUGGUGCCAGGUAUACGAACAUGCAUAAUGACUAUACCGGCCAAGGAGUUGAUCAGCUUUUAGAUGUUAUCAACAAGAUAAAGCACAAUCCUGAUGAUAGACGGAUCAUUCUCUCUGCAUGGAAUCCAGCAGAUCUUAAAUUGAUGGCACUUCCACCCUGCCACAUGUCUGCACAGUUCUAUGUAGCAAAUGGGGAGUUAUCAUGUCAAAUGAAUCAGCGAUCUGCUGAUAUGGGCCUGGGUGUGCCAUUCAACAUUGCAUCUUAUGCCCUCCUUACAUGCAUGAUUGCUCAUAUUUGUGACCUUGUUCCAGGUGAUUUUAUCCAUGUUCUUGGAGAUGCACAUGUUUAUCAAACUCAUGUGACGCCUUUGCAGGAACAGCUUCAUAACCUGCCAAAACCUUUUCCAACUUUGAAAAUCAAUUCAAUGAAGAAAGAUAUAGAUUCUUUUGUGGCUACUGACUUCAAGCUCAUUGACUAUGAUCCUCACCAGAAGAUUGAGAUGAAGAUGGCUGUUUAAAAUAAGGGAGAUCUUAGUCCCUACUUCAGGCUGUUUCUGCUGUUUGAAAUGAGCCAAGCACAACAAAUGGAUUUAUGGAGUAACAGAAGUCAUGCCUAUAAUUUAACAGAAAUUGUGUACACCAGAACCCAUCUUGAGAAUGGAUUCACAUGUGCAACUGAUUUGGAAUCAUAGGUAGUUAUUAUCAGGAAGUGUUUCAAGGGAGCUAUAGAGCAUAGGGGUUAAGACAUUUCUAUUUCGAAAAUAGUACUAACUAGUAACUAACGAGCUUUAAAGCCGUUUGCCAAAUGCUUUAAUUUUUAUGCUAGUUAAUCUAAAAGAGACAAAAAUGUCGCCCAAAACAACUCCAUUUUACAUAUUUGUCUUUGUUAUUUUUGUAAUUUACUGGGCUAUUUAGGAUGAAGAUAGCAUCUUUUUUCCAAUAAAGGAAUCAGAAAAAUAUACAAGUUUAAAAUAUGCCUAUUGUACAAAAUUUCAAUACUAGUCUAUGUCAGUCUCUUGCAGUUGUAGAUUUAUAGUCCAUUGAAGCCAGAAGUAACAUGCAAGAAAACAUCUUCUGUGCAAGGAAUUGUGAGGCCACCCAUUGGAUGAUCAUAUCCGAACUCUUCCUCUGCACGACUCAGCAAAUCUUGAAAUGAAGUUUGGUUCAAGUAUGACAUGGGGAUCACAAACCGCUUCAUUUCUUCUCCGACAUACACGGCAAGAUAGCCCUUUGGCAUAUUCAGUGCCUUUGAUGAUGUUCGGCUUCUGCUCAAUGAAGCACAUCUAAUAACUGCAGGUAAAUGAAAGCCCAUUUCAAAUGUUUCAAAGAACAAGUAAAGCUCUCAAAUAUAAGAAUAACGUAACUAGCUUUUGAUGGUUGAGUAUGUAAAUGAGUUUUGAUAGUUGUGAAGGAAGGUAGUGUAUUUAUAGUCUCAAGAGUUUCUUGGAAUCUAUUUUGUUGAGAAUUGGUUGUUAAAUGAUGGGGUCCAUGAGAAGAGAGAUCACAUGAAAUCUCCUUUUGAUAUCUCUCUAUUAAGGACCAGUAAGUUCAAUAAGAGAGCACAUAUACACCACAUCUUUUGUAGAUCUCUCACUUGAAAGUUAAAGGAGAUAGGAAGGUUCAAAUUAGUGCUUAAUUAUGACCACUCAAGUAUUUGUAAUGUUCUCUUCAUAUUGGUAACACUAACACGGCUCAAUUUCGACACAUAGUAGCAAAAAUCAUCUUAGGGAUGACUUUUAAGCCAAUUAGUGGCUACAAAUCAUAUAUGUUAUGAGGCAACAAUGGAACCUGUAUCAAGGGAUUGAUUGGUCAGAAGUCAUCCUGACCAGAAGAUAGUAGUAGUACAGAUUUGAAUCCACAAGAAGCAGAAAACUGUAUUCAGAAAAUUGAAUUACUAAUGUCAACAGUCCUAUAUAUUUCAUUUUCAAUAAUUGCAGUCUUCCCGAGAAAAAUCUCUGCCAGGAUUUUUGUAUUAUAAGGUGGAUUGAUAAAGGUUGUUUGAUGACUUUUUUCAGCGUAUGAGAAUAGUUUGUUAGCAGAACUUUAUUGAUGAACCUAUUUUAAAAUGUUGGGCAAUAAAUUCAAGGGAAACAAGUAGAGUUGUAUUUAUGAUUAUAUUUUUUCUUGUUUCUUGCAGAGAAGGACUUGUGUUUUUUCUAACUCAAAAGGAAACUAUCUUUAAUAUAUGAUUAACAUGUUUCUAAUUUUGAGAGUUUUAUAACAAUUGUUCUGGACUGGGCCAAGGUUAGGCCCACUAUGAUUUUCGGCCCAAUAAACCUCAGAGGCUCACGUCCCUCUGCGGCCCUCCUACGCAGAUAGGAUGCCCACCUUAGACAUGCUCGGCUGCCCUAUAUCCCCGAGCAUGUGACACCAACAUGCUCGGCACUGACGAGCCCGCGAACACCUUCGUUGCCGAGGACUCUGCUCCGCGCAGGGUUCCUUCAUAUUCAACCCUCCGAAC